GACGAACGCUGGCGGCGUGCUUAACACAUGCAAGUCGAACGAUGAAGCCCAGCUUGCUGGGUGGAAGAGUGGCGAACGGGUGAGUAACACGUGAGUAACCUGCCCUGAACUCUGGGAUAAGCACUGGAAACGGUGUCUAAUACUGGAUACGACCUAUCACCGCAUGGUGUGUGGGUGGAAAGAUUCAUCGGUUUUGGAUGGACUCGCGGCCUAUCAGCUAGAUGGUGAGGUAAUGGCUCACCAUGGCGACGACGGGUAGCCGGCCUGAGAGGGUGACCGGCCACACUGGGACUGAGACACGGCCCAGACUCCUACGGGAGGCAGCAGUGGGGAAUAUUGCACAAUGGGCGCAAGCCUGAUGCAGCAACGCCGCGUGAGGGAUGACGGCCUUCGGGUUGUAAACCUCUUUUAGUAGGGAAGAAGCGAAAGUGACGGUACCUGCAGAAAAAGCACCUGCUAACUACGUGCCAGCAGCCGCGGUAAUACGUAGGGUGCAAGCGUUGUCCGGAAUUAUUGGGCGUAAAGAGCUCGUAGGCGGCUUGUCGCGUCUGCUGUGAAAUCCCGGGGCUCAACCCCGGGCCUGCAGUGGGUACGGGCAAGCUAGAGUGCGGUAGGGGAGAUUGGAAUUCCUGGUGCAGCGG
rnacentral:rRNA from 1 species